CAGUCGCCGCGGGAAUACGUAGGUGGCAAGCGUUGUCCGGAAUUAUUGGGCGUAAAGGGCUCGCAGGCGGUUUCUUAAGUCUGAUGUGAAAGCCCCCGGCUCAACCGGGGAGGGUCACUGGAAACUGGGAAACUUGAGUGCAGAAGAGGAGAGUGGAAUUCCACGUGUAGCGGUGAAAUGCGUAGAGAUGUGGAGGAACACCAGUGGCGAAGGCGACUCUCUGGUCUGUAACUGACGCUGAGGAGCGAAAGCGUGGGGAGCGAACAGGAUUAGAUACCCCAGUAGUCCCUGUCUCUUAUAC
rnacentral:rRNA from 1 species